rnacentral:lncRNA from 1 species
CCGCGGCCUUACCGGGGCCUCCCCGCAGCCUUUCGGGGCUCGGCGGGGCCGUUUGGGGCCUGCCCGGGGCUCGGCGGCGCCGUUUGAGGCCUGGCCGAGGCUUGAGCGGAGCUUUUUGGGGUCGAGCCGGGCCCUUCCCGAGGCCUCCGGGGCCGAACCGGGGCAGAACCGGGGCUUUAAAGGCCUUUAACGGGAAGAACCCCCCGGUGCUCCCGCUUUUGAUUCUUUCUCUCCGGAAUUUGGGGGCGAUUUCAGCCGAAAUCGCUGUAAAAUCGGAGCUUUUUCGUUUUGUAUUUGUCUUAUUUAACAGCAGCGCUUUUCCCGUUUUUUUUCCCCCGGGAUUUCGGCUCCUCCCAAGGGUCAGAAAAUCCCGGGAUUUGAGGAGCGGGAUGAAAUUCCAAGGAUUUCUUCACUCCAGCGAGGAUUUUUUGGCUUUUUUACUGCGGUUUUUGCUUUGAGCGAACCCAAAUCCGUGUGAAAUCCGUGAUCCAGGGAAUUCCUCCCUCGGGAAUGCUGUCCCUGGAACCAGGAAUGACUUAAGGAAACCCAAGGAGGAGGAAAAAGGGGAUCGAAGAUUCCUGAGGAACGCUCCCGCUCGGGGUUGCAGGGAUCCGGGCACGGCUGGGAUCGCUCCUGGCUGAGAAAACAAUCCAGGAUCAUUCCAGGGAAAGAAUCCAAGGAUUUUUCCCUAUUUUUGUUCAAUUCAACACCCAGAUUUGGAGGAAAGGAGACAUUUGAAGGAAAACUCCCUUUAAAAAGCGGGAUCACAGCUCCAGGUGCUUCCCAUUCCCAUUUUCCCCCCCUGGAGCCAGGUUGGUUUUUUCCAGGGAUUUAUUGGGAAUUUCCUGCUGGGAUUUGGGGAUGGGUGGGGGAUUCCUGCUGUGAUCCCGAUGUUUCCCUUUGUUUUGGAGACCGUAUCCAGGGAAAGGCCAGGGCUGGGAGCAGGAACAGGGAUGGAUCCCCAUGGAGAAUCCCAGGGAUUGGGAUCCUUAUGGAAAAACCCUGGGAUUGGGGUUGGGAUCUCAGUGGAAGAUCCUUGGGAUUGGGGU